CCAGUGGUGGGUUGCCCCUGGUUCGAACCGGUUUUAUAGAACCAGUAGUAAAACCAGUGGGAGGCUCCGCCCACCACCCCCGAUGUCAUCAAAACGCUUCUGCGCUUGCACAGAAGAGCGUGCAUGCGGCCUCACUGCAAACUGGUAGUAAAGUGACAUCUCGGCAGCUCUAUUUGUUGAACGGGAGCAAGUCACAGCUCUCCAAUCAAGCAGUUUACCCACUUCUCUGCAAAAUCUUAGUGAAGUUUAUUUGCUUUUGGCUUCAGGUGCUACAUGAACCUAGCAGUGAUGACUUAUAUAAAAGUGGAUUGAAUUCAGUUUUCCACAGAAACCUUGCUCUGCUAUUGAAGUAAUAGAUGUGUCUUAAUUUUCUUUGCUCUAAUUGUAUAUUUUUUUUCUUAACCAACUUGUUUGAUGAACAGUUCCAGAAGCUUUCCAUUGCCUUUUCUGUUAGCCAGAUAAAGUUAUUACCUGAAUAAAAUUUGAAUUUGUUCUUA